GAUGAACGCUGGCGGCGUGCCUAAUACAUGCAAGUCGAGCGAACAGACGAGGAGCUUGCUCCUCUGACGUUAGCGGCGGACGGGUGAGUAACACGUGGAUAACCUACCUAUAAGACUGGGAUAACUUCGGGAAACCGGAGCUAAUACCGGAUAAUAUAUUGAACCGCAUGGUUCAAUAGUGAAAGAAGGUUUUGCUGUCACUUAUAGAUGGAUCCGCGCCGCAUUCGCUAGUUGGUAAGGUAACGGCUUACCAAGGCAACGAUGCGUAGCCGACCUGAGAGGGUGAUCGGACACACUGGAACUGAGACACGGCCCAGACUCCUACGGGAGGCAGCAGUAGGGAAUCUUCCGCAAUGGGCGAAAGCUUGACGGAGCAACGCCGCGUGAGUGAUGAAGGUCUUCGGAUCGUAAAACUCUGUUAUUAGGGAAGAACAAAUGUGUAAGUAACUAUGCACGUCUUGACGGUACCUAAUCAGAAAGCCACGGCUAACUACGUG
rnacentral:rRNA from 1 species